rnacentral:lncRNA from 1 species
UCUUCUCUGCUAGCGUACGCCUCAAUUGCUCUCCCUAUUGAAUUGAAUUCCAAAAAAGAAAAUUUCAUUUGAGAAAUGUGGAAAACAAGUUCAAACAGCAUAGUGAAUUUGCGCUAAAUAAACAAAACUCACAUUACUGAUGAAUCAACAUUGAGAAUUCAUACAGUCGAUUUGAAUUAGUAUGUAAUUUAAUUGAUGAAAUUUUGGAUUGUAAAUAGUACCUGAAUGAGGAGGAGAUGAUCAAUUUCAUCACGUUGUUGUUUGAUAUGAGUAGCUAAGUCUUCUGUUAAUAUUGAAUAGAAAGCUGAUGAUUGAGAGGAUUGAGGAGAAAGAGAGUUGUGGUGAUGAUGAUGUUGUUGUUGCUGUAAUUGAUGCUGCUGCUGUUGUUGUUGCUGAUCUCCGAAAGCUAAACGGAGUCCGGUGGAGACAACAUUUGGUGGCUGUUGCUGCAAUGGAGCCGAUGUGUGGAGCUGAGUGAGGUCAAUGAGUUGCGGUUGAGGCUGAGAUUGCAUUGACAUCAAUGGAUUCAUUGGCGCUGUUGUACUUGUAAGUUCUCUUCCUCUCUUUCUUGAAUUUGAACCUGCUAAAAAAUUACAAACAAAAUCAUAUUACUUUUCAUUAUAAAUAUUCAAUGAGAUACAAAAUAUGUACGUUUCAAUUCAACUUUAAUCAUGAAAGGCGAAGAAGAAAAACAGAUGAUUUUUUCGAGUUUUCUGAAUUCGAGAUUGAAUUUGAAGCGUAGUUGAGGUUUUUUUUCUUCCUACCUCCUGUAUUGAAUAGCAUUUGUGUUUGAUCAAGAAAAGAUCCACCUCCGCCACCACCAGCACCACCAGGUCGAGGUUGUAAUGAAUAAUCAUUACCCAGUGGGCCUUUUCCUUCUUGUACAUUUCUGCAAAACAAGAAUCAAUUAAAAUCCCAUUAAACUUACCUAUAGACAAGAAAAAGGAAGAGAUACGAUUCAAAGAGUGGAAUAUAGAGGAGGGUUGUUGAAUGCUCACCUGUUUAGAAAGAGAACAUUUGAUGGAUAUUGAGCUUGAACAGCCAUUUCUUGAAAUGGGGAUAAAUGCGAUAUGAUCAGAGUUGAUACAGGAAAUGAAAGGUAGAUAGAUUAUAUAGACAGAAAAAGGGAUUCUAAGUUGGAAGAUGGUAAUGAAGAGAUGUGUGAUUGGUGGGUGGGUGAGGGAAGAGGAGGGGAGGGGUUUCAGACUGAUUAAGGGCUAACACAUAAACAGCAUGAAUAGAGAAGAAGAUGCCAUAAACCAAGGCAGGGAAGACUCUUCAGUGACACCCUUCAAAGAAAUGUAAAGAAUGAGGGACAAGGGAGAAAAAGGAAAGAAGCUUUUAUAUUCUCAAUAGAGAGAGAAUAUGAGUGAGUGAGGUUAAUAAGUGAAUGAAGAAACCAUUUACAAGAACACCAACAUGAUGACCAUCUUCUCCCUUCACACUUUUCUCCACAACCUAAAAACUUUUAUCUUUUUUCUAUAACUUUCUUGUGUGUGUUUUUCCUCCUCAAAAAACUUGCCUUGCUUUGCCUCCUUUGCUUGUUUGUUUGUUUGCUUAUGAUGCUUGCUUCUUUGGUAAUGCUUUUGAAAGCAUAUGAAAGAAAGAGAAAGAGAGAGAGAUGAUGUAGAAUCAGUCCAAGAAAGGGAGAAAGAGAGGGGUAGCCCGUCUUAUUCUGGUUCUUGGUUUUGCCUUUCCUUUGCUUUGCUUUGUUCUUCCUUCUUUUUUUUGCCGUGGCUUUAGCUUUGGUUUUGGCUCUUUCUUUGGAGAGAAAGAACUCUAGGGUUUCUUAUCAGCUCUUUCCCCUCUACCCCUACUAUUAUUAUUAUAAUUAUUAUUUAUUAUUCAUUGAAUUUUUCACCUUUGGUGUAUUGGUAUUAUCCACACACCCCACAUACGUAAAGGUAUUUUGUUUUUGUGUAGAGGAGUAUAGAGAAAGAGAAGGAGAAUCAAUAAUAAUGAAUAAGGUAGAUGUGGGGAUAAUAGUCUUGGAGUUGGGGUUGAUAUUGUUGUUGGGCGUGCAGAAGGUCUCUGCCGUUACCGCUGCCGCUGGCAUUGUUUGUAUAUGGCCCAUGCUGCCCACCUAUUCCUCAUAUGACUCCCUCUUACCUUCCCUUUAUUUUAUUUUUUAUAAAAAUAAAUAAAUAAAUAAAUUAGAGUAGUACUAAUUAAGAGAAUAGGUUUUGUGAAAAAAAAUAGGGCCUAAUCUCUUUUACUACUAAUUAAGAGAAUAGGUUUUGUGAAAAAAAAUAGGGCCUAAUCUCUUUUACUACUAAUUAAGAGAAUAGGUUUUGUGAAAAAAAAUAGGGCCUAAUCUCUUUUUUAAAAUAACCAUGAUGCACCUCGACUAAAUUCAGAGAUAUACAUCACCUCUCAUCAGCAAUAAAUAAGAGUUAACUUUGUUCACCAAAAUAAGUCUAUUGGGUAGAAUGAUCUAUUGGUUUUGUUUGUGUCUAGUGAGGUUUGAACAAAGGGGGAUCUACUUUUUUUUUUUUUAAUAUCCUUGAUGUCAAGGCUAGGCUGCUAGCUUUCAUGCAUUUUACUUAAAUUCAUGAGAUAGCUGUAAUCUCUUACCAGCAAUAGAUAUAAAUUAAUUUUACCCAUCAAAACUAGAAUAAAUGAGAUGAAUUCCCUAAUUUUUUUUUCUUCUCGAUUUAAUUAAAUGGGGUCUAAUUUUUGUUUUUAAGUAAAUGGAGGAGGUGUAAUUAUAUUAUAUACCUAUAGUCUAGGUAAAUGGAGCACUAUUUAAAGCGAGAGACAAACCUGUCCCUGUAAUGCAUAGAGAAAGGGGAUUGGUUUCUUGUUCUAAUAAUUAAAUUUUUUUGAUGUGGUCACAGAGGAACCAUUUGCUGCCUAAUGCAAAGAUGCCCAUCUAGUUGUUCAAGCCUAGGUCACCUUCAUUGUGAAAUAGUUUUUAUCUUCCUUUUCUUCUUUUGUCCAAAUUGAUUAUUUGCCUUAGUGGGUCCUCAAAAAAUUAUGAUUCUUGAAAUUAGAUAUUGCUGUUUGAGCUUGUCCAAAGUUGGUUUUAAGUGGAAUUGGAUGGAUGAGAUGUACACAUACACCACCAACAACAUACUCGGUCUAAUCAGACAGAGGAGAGGAGGUCUGAAUAGGGUAGUUAGUGUAUAUUCAAACCUCUCUAUUGGGUAGAGAUCAGAGAUUAUUUUAAAUAGAUUCUCAGCUUAAGUAAAAGAAAUACAAAAUAAUGGUUAUAUACACAUCAAAGAUUUUUUAUUUUUUUUUAAUUUCCAAAAGGAAGAUUUUAAUAACAUAGGUUGAAUUUUACUUGGUUUUCAAGAUUCAAAACAGCUGAACUGCUAUUAUUCAUCACAUUCCUUUUCUUACAAAUAAAGAAGAAAUCAGCAUACUUCCAACCUAAUUGCUAUGUUUGUUGGCUGAGUUAGCUUCUUCUUCUCUCAAAGUUAAUGUUAUACCAAAAAAAUUUCUUCAAAUGAAUCUGUCAAAUUCACUCACCUAUUAUUAAUAUUAUUAUUAUCAUCAUCAUCCCUUCCAUUUUUUCCUAUUAUUUAGAAACUUCAAGAAACCUGAUUAAUCUUUUAAUUAUUAGAGGAGAGAUUUAAUUUGCAAGGAAUCAGAAAAAGAUGGGGCUAUGAAUACAACUUUUCUCCCUUUUAUUUUGCAUUCUGGAAUCUUGACUGUGUGUGAUUAACAAGCCAAUUUUUCCUCUUAAUUAACAUAGUCAUGUGGUAAACCUGAUUAGCUGAAUACCCCAUAAUUACCUACCAAUUCAAUUUGCAUCAUUUACGUUUAAUAUUUGAACUAACAAUUAGGUUGGAUGACUAUUUAGAAAAAAAUAUAUUUUUCAUUUUUAUGGUUGAGCAAAAAAAGUAGUUUCUCCACCAUACAUGUUAAUUAAAUCUCUCCCAUAUUGACAAAAAAAUUUAGCAUCUUUUCUUUCAACCGUAAAAAGUCAUUUAUAAAUAUGUCCAUGUUGUGUGCUUUCAUUCGUGAAGGCAUAUAUAUAUUGCCAGCCCAUAAUUUCUCUUGGAAUUGUCCUUUCCAUCAAUUGAGCCAAACACCAUUGAUGAAAACAACAAUUAAAGAGUAAGUAAAUAAAAAUGAAAGUACACUAUUUAUUCAUUAAGGUAAAGCCCUAACUUACACGACUCUCAUGAAUUGUCAGACCCCUCCAUCAAAUGAACAUAAUGAGGUGGAAGAAAAAGAAAUGAGAUAAAACAAUAUAACAAUGCAAAACUUACUUGCUUUUUUAAAAUUACAAUUGAAGAAAAAAAUUGGAGGACAACGUUUAACCUUUCACAUAAAUUUAUCAUCAAUUCGGUUGCGAAUUAUGAGGUGUUAGGUUCAAAUUCUAGUAGUGAGAAAAUAAGCUAGGUAAGUGUUUUUCAUCUAUUAUAUGUAGCUGAUGAGAUGUGACAGGUAUUUUGUGAAAUUAAUUGAGGUG